rnacentral:rRNA from 1 species
AUUGAACGUUGGCGGCAGGCCUAACACAUGCAAGUCGAGCGGAUGAAGGGAGCUUGCUCCUGGAUUCAGCGGCGGACGGGUGAGUAAUGCCUAUGAAUCUGCCUGGUAGUGGGGGAUAACGUCCGGAAACGGGCGCUAAUACCGCAUACGUCCUGAGGGAGAAAGUGGGGGAUCUUCGGACCUCACGCUAUCAGAUGAGCCUAGGUCGGAUUAGCUAGUUGGUGGGGUAAAGGCCUACCAAGGCGACGAUCCGUAACUGGUCUGAGAGGAUGAUCAGUCACACUGGAACUGAGAAACGGUCCAGACUCCUACGGGAGGACGCAGUGGGGAAUAUUGGACAAAGGGCGAAAGCCUGAUACAGCCCUGCCGCGUGUGUGAAGAAGGUCUUCGGCUUGUAAAGCACUUUAAGUUGGGAGGAAGGGAAGUACGUUAAUACCUUGCUGUUUUGACGUUACCAACAGAAUAAGCACCGGCUAACUUCGUG